UGAGGUCAUUUGAAUGUGAUAUCUCUCCCUCCAGUAAUUCUGUUGGCCUAGCUGUUUAGGCAGAUGUCCUUGUUCCCCCAAAGCCCCUCAAAGUGUGUCUCUCCCAAAGCUAUUUGGUUAAGAAGACAGCCUGGUUAAGAAGGAGGCCUGUUCUUCAGUCAAGGGUACAUGAAUGACAUCACUCCCUGCUAGAACCUCCAGAUGAACUUAAAAUUGCUGGCUGGUGAAUUAUAAUUAGCCCCACAAUCUUGAGCUUCUUUUCUCAUUGUU
ensembl:misc_RNA 7SK 7SK RNA